CUCCUUGCUCAGCUAUAUCUCAAAUCUUUUGCUUUAUGCCUUGGACAGCCUUUCUCUCUACCAUGUGGAUGCCUGCAGAAGCCUGCACAGUCAUUCUGCCACAUGCACUGUGGAUACACAGCUGAUUUACAGCUGGGCUGAAAAAGCCUCAUCUCUGUUUCUGGGGAUUCCAGGAUAUCCUGUUUUUGACUCUUAGCUAAGG
rnacentral:lncRNA from 10 species